AAGUCGUAACAAGGUUUCCGUAGGUGAACCUGCGGAAGGAUCAUUAUUGAAUUCAAAGCGGUGCUGAUGCUGGCCUCCCGGGGCAUGUGCACGUCCGCAUAUAUUCAACCACCUGUGAACUUACUGUAGACCUGGGGCCAAAUCCUCAAGGAAACUUGGACGUAGGGCUGCUGGUCUCUUCUGAGAUAGGCUUCUCCUUGUUGCGUUCUAGGUCUAUGUCUUACACACCCUUAGAAUGUUAAUGAAUGUCUUGUAAUGGCUGUAUUUGGCCUUUAAACUUAAUACAACUUUCAACAACGGAUCUCUUGGCUCUC
rnacentral:misc_RNA from 1 species